UUAUUAAUGCGCGCGCAGCAUCGCCUGUUCGCCUGAACUCGUUGGCUCCGAAGGCCUGUCAGGAACCGGAUAUUUUGUAAACAACCGAGGCAAAGGGUUAAUUAAUUUUGCCUACUUUUUUCUACUUCCUGCGUUUCUCUUCCGUUCGGGUUAUCAAGUACACUUGUCAGCGCAGCUGUCACUGACAACUUUAGACUCUGAACCGAUCAUCCAUCAACUAACCGUAAUUUAUCCAUCGAAAUCAACGGUCACGUGACCUCUGUGAUAUGGGUGUUCGCUUUACGGAUUUCUUCCGGUUUACCAAAUGGCAAUUACUUAACUUUCCGUGACGCAACUAUAACAAGGCGAUUUAAAUGUUGCGGUACUCGAUGUGCCUGGAAAUAUCUGACAAUAGCCGAUCGAUGAGGCUUUGUGCCUCAAAAAGAAAAAUUGCAACGAUUGGAACGCUCGCGGUCUGGGAGAAUUUUCGCUCGCGGCCAUAGCUCGCGGACACCUCAUCGACGAAACGAAGAAUGAUGAUACGAAAGCGUUGUUUCACGUUUAGCAAUCUGGGAUUUACGCACUCCGGCAGAUGCGCAACAUUUCGCAGAAUAGUCCGAACGAUCUCUGCGAACCAUCCUCCCGCCGAGUUUUCAGCUGUUCAACCCCCAAUCGCACGUGCUUCGACGUGUUCGACUCGAGGCGGAGAUUCCUAGUGAUCGUCUGUUAACAUCUUAGCUGUAUUCGAGGAUAUAUUAUAAUAUAUAGAAGAUAUAUUAUA